AUUAAGCCGAUGAGUCCAAAAUAGGACGAAACUCGCGUUCUGAAU
rnacentral:hammerhead_ribozyme from 1 species